CAAAACCUUCUCUCUUCAUAUCACCUCAUCUUCCAAGAUUUGCUCCACCAAAACCCUAGCUCCCUUUCACCUUCUGCGCAGUCGCACCCCUUCCCCUCAACGCAGCCACUCUCCUUCCAGUUCUACACAGCCUCCUCCAGUCGGGCAGGAUUUCCUUUCGAUUUGCUAGACGACGGAAGCGUUCCCUUUCGAUUCCCCCUUUGAGACUGGAUGCCCAAAGUGCAAUUAAUGAUCUGAAUGGAAAAUGGCUCCGAAGUAGGCAAAUUCGAUGCAAUUGGGCGGCGAAUGGUGCUAUAUCGGAUGACAAACAGCGGUCGAAUACCAAAAGUGUUGUUGAAUUGACAAACCGAACUUCAGACGAUGGUCAAGAAAAGAUCAAUGAAGAUGCUCCGGAAAAUAAUCCUCAACACACAACCGUUUAUGUUGGCAAUCUGGCUCCUGAGCGACCAUUGGUCUUUGUUCAUCAUUGCCCAACACAUAAGACAUGUAUAUAUUUUGGAUUCAACAAAGAUAAAAGGCGGAAAGAAUGCUUCUAAUUAUCGUCUUUCAAGUCUAAUUCCUACCGCCUUAGGAUCCGAGUUCAACUACACAAUGGUUGAUUGUAAGCAAUAAAAGGGUGGAUGGGAAUGCGGCUACAUGGUUCUCCAACAUAUGUUUGACUUUGUCAAUUUGUAUCAAAACCAGUUUCCCGAUGAAAUGUGGCACAACACGAGAGAGGCUACGGAUAAUGAAAUAGAUGUUUUGUUGAUGACGUUGAUGCCGAAGUUUUUUAGCGAGUUAGGUAUUUCGUUAGAUUAGUGUAUGUAGUUUAUUUAUACAAUUUAACGUAGUUUGUUAUGUAUUCACAAAUGAUUGUAAUUUGACGGGUUUAUUUCCGAAUUGGAUGUCUACGGGUUUAUUUUAGAUUUAAA